GUCGCCCCUCGAGGCGUUGCAGCUCAACUGUCAGUGUUGCAGCUGUGUCAUGAGGUGGCAGAGAGAGAACGCUGGUCGUCUGCACUGAACCUCGACAACGUCAGGAGGUUUUGGAGUCGCACUGA